rnacentral:rRNA from 1 species
AUGAGGAAAGGAUUAUUCGCCAACAAGGAUGAAUAUCUCUUCUUUGGAGAAGAAAAUAGGCUGAAAAUGUUUCAGCCAAAUACAUUCAAUUUUAAGCCAAAAUCCCAUAUUAAGCUCGAUGAAGCUCAAAGAUGCAUAUUGGAUAACUUUUGGUUCCAAUAUACUCGCAAAAGAGAGGAACAAGGAUAUUUUUUAUCAAUUCUCAACAGUUUGGCUGAAUAUUUUAAUGAAUUAAACAAAAAUGUGCCAAAGCCAGCAAAGGUUGAAAUACCAAAAGGAGAAACUCUAUAUCUUAUAUUUGAUGGAAACAAACCUGGCAUAUAUUUGGAAUGGGAGAAUAUUAUGAUUGAAAAAUUAGAUGCAAAAAGAAAUGGACAAGAUUUAACAUUCAAAAGAUAUUACAGUAUAGAUGAGGCCUUACUUUGGGCAAGGAAGGUAUUAGGACCAGAUUAUUAUAUUGACCCAAAGGCUAAAAACUAUAUCCAAAUGAAAAGAGGCAUACCUGCUUCACCAACUCCCACAAAGGGGGAGGCAUCAAGCUCAAACAAUAUAAAGAAAGAAGAAUCCCCGAAAUAUAAGACAUAUCAAGAAUGCCUUCUAAAGGGGCUUGACCCUUUAGACAGUGAAUACAUAGAUCAAGAAAUGGAUAAAAGGUUUGAAGAAUUUUCAAAGAUAAUAAAGAAAUUAAAGGAGGAAAUAUUAAAAGAAUUAAGGCAAGAAAUGGAUGAAAUAUUUGAAGUAAUAAAGAAAGAAUGUGAUGAAAAAUAUGAUUUCAAUCUGUUAAAUGAUGAUGAUCAUAUGGACAUAGCAGGGCAUGGGCAGCGACCUGAAUAA